rnacentral:rRNA from 1 species
AACGAACGCUGGCGGCAUGCCUAACACAUGCAAGUCGAACGAGACCUUCGGGUCUAGUGGCGCACGGGUGCGUAACGCGUGGGAAUCUGCCCUCUGGUUCGGAACAACAGUUGGAAACGACUGCUAAUACCGGAUAAUGACUUCGGUCCAAAGAUUUAUCGCCUGAGGAUGAGCCCGCGUAGGAUUAGCUUGUUGGUGAGGUAAAAGCUCACCAAGGCGACGAUCCUUAGCUGGUCUGAGAGGAUGAUCAGCCACACUGGGACUGAGACACGGCCCAGACUCCUACGGGAGGCAGCAGUGGGGAAUAUUGGACAAUGGGCGAAAGCCUGAUCCAGCAAUGCCGCGUGAGUGAUGAAGGCCUUAGGGUUGUAAAGCUCUUUUACCCGGGAUGAUAAUGACAGUACCGGGAGAAUAAGCCCCGGCUAACUCCGUGCCAGCCGCCGCGGUAA